rnacentral:tRNA from 1 species
GUAUAGCUCAGUGGAAGAGUGCUUGCCUAGCAUGCAAGGGCCUUGGGUUCAUCCCCAGUAC